AGCUCCAAUAGCGUAUAUUAAAGCUGUUGCAGUUAAAAAGCUCGUAGUUGGACGUCGGGCCGGGGCUUGCGGUCCGCUCGUUGCGGUCACUGCUCGUCUCCUCGGUCGCUGACGAGGUCGCGUCGUCCCGGUGAUGCUCUUAGCUGAGCGUCCCGGGUGGCCGGCAGGUUUACUUUGAAAAAAUUAGAGUGUUCAAGGCAGGCGUUGCACGCCUGGAUAACGGUGCAUGGAAUAAUGGAAUAGGACCUCGGUUCUAUUUUGUUGGUCUUCGGAACCCCGAGGUAAUGAUUAAGAGGGACAGACGGGGGCAUUCGUAUUGUGGCGUUAGAGGUGAAAUUCUUGGAUCGCCGCAAGACGAACUACUGCGAAAGCAUUUGCCAAGAAUGUUUUCA
rnacentral:rRNA from 1 species